CACCACCUUACCCGGAACCGGCGAGCCCGCAGCGCGUUAUGACGGUCCCCACGCCUGAGCCGCUGCUGGUGUGGCGACGCGGUGACACCCAAGGAGCGACGUAAUUUCUGGGUGGGAGGGAGUGGGUGAGGCAGCUUUUAUCUCACUGUGUCACCCUGAGCUGGCCUCCGAUCCGACCCAGAGAGCCUUUGGCUCUAGAAUGGUGAGUUUAAGGUGUGCCUCACCACAUCCCGCUCUAAAUCUUUUUGUUGUUUUGGGUCUCACUGUGUAGCACUUGGCUGGCCUGGAAACUCCUCGAGUUCUGCUCGCCUAUUGCCUUUGGGAGAGCUGGGAUUCCAGGGUUUCUCUGUAUAGCUUUGGAGCCUGUCCUGGAACUCGCUCUGGAGACCUGACUGAUCUCAAACUCUCAGAGAUCCACCUGCCUCUGAGUGCUGGGAUUAAGGGCGUGCUCCUGUAGAUGUGCGAUCAUUUUGCUCUAAUUGGCUCACUGCAAUUGCAAUACAAUAAAACGGCAGGCAAGCAAGGAACACUUGGCUUGCCUCAAGUCCACUAAGUGGCCAAAGACGACAUUGGAUUCCCCAUUUUUUUCUCCACCUCCCUCCUGAGUAUUGGGACCACACACCUGUGUUGAUAUGCCUGGUUUAUUUAUAUUUUUUAAAAAGUGUUUGAAAAUACUUUAUUCUUGUUUUAUA